AGUGAACGCUGGCGGUAGGCCUAACACAUGCAAGUCGAACGGCAGCACAGUAAGAGCUUGCUCUUACGGGUGGCGAGUGGCGGACGGGUGAGGAAUACAUCGGAAUCUACUUUUUCGUGGGGGAUAACGUAGGGAAACUUACGCUAAUACCGCAUACGACCUACGGGGGAAAGCAGGGGAUCUUCGGACCUUGCGCGAUUGAAUGAGCCGAUGUCGGAUUAGCUAGUUGGCGGGGUAAAGGCCCACCAAGGCGACGAUCCGUAGCUGGUCUGAGAGGAUGAUCAGCCACACUGGAACUGAGACGCGGUCCAGACUCCUACGGGAGGCAGCAGUGGGGAAUAUUGGACAAUGGGCGCAAGCCUGAUCCAGCCAUGCCGCGUGGGUGAAGAAAGCCUUCGGGUUGUAAAGCCCUUUUGUUGGGAAAGAAAAGCAGCAGGUUAAUACCCCGCUGUUCUGACGGUACCCAAAGAAUAAGCACCGGCUAACUUCGU
rnacentral:rRNA from 1 species